AGGGGUAUCAUACAACGGUUAGUAUGACGGUCUCCAAAACCGUUCAUGAGGGUUCGAAUCCUUCUACCCCUGCCA
rnacentral:tRNA from 1 species